rnacentral:tRNA from 1 species
GCACCUGUGGUGAAACUGGCAGACACGUGAGAUUUAGGUUCUCAUGCCAAAUGGCGUGCAGGUUCAACUCCUGUCAGGUGCA